GGGAGGAUGGCUGAGUGGUUUAAGGCGUCGGUCUUGAAAACCGAAGGGUAAAUUUAUCUCGCAGGUUCGAAUCCUGUUCCUCUCU
rnacentral:tRNA from 1 species